rnacentral:lncRNA from 1 species
AUCAUCCCUGAGAAUGCUAUAAUGGAGGAGCUCAGAAAGAGGGCUGAGGCUGACAAGAACCACAAGCCUGUUAAAGACUUGGUUCUCUUGCUCUUUGAGACAGCUCUCCUUACCUCUGGGUUCAGCCUUGAGGAGCCCAACACCUUUGGCAACAGGAUCCACAGAAUGUUGAAGCUUGGUUUGAGCAUUGAUGAUGAUGAUGAAGCGGUUGAGGCUGAAGACAUGCCUUCACUGGAAGAAGCUGAUGCUGAUGCAGAGGGUAGCAAGAUGGAAGAAGUGGAUUAAAUGUGUUCUCUUCUACUGCUUGCCAAUCCAGUAUUGCUUCUACUUUCUUUUAUAAUAUUAUUGCUUACUAAGUUUUAGUUCGUUAUGGGACUUGGAGAAACUGAGAAUGUUAGGAAGAUUAUGUGAUUUCGGGUUUAUAUAAUCCAGACUUGUAGUUAUUUGUUCUUCGAGUCCUGAUGCCCUGGUUAUCUAGUUUCAAGAUGCCUAAAUCACUGUGUUUCAUGGAAAUAUCAAAUGCCUUUUUGGAGUGCCACACAAAAUCUCUCUUUCCAGUUUCCAAUGCUCAACUGAUUAUCUGUAGGUUAUAGAGUACUUGUUUUUUUUUGUGUGGAUAUGUUAGACUACUACCAUUGCUGAUAACCUUGUUAGGUGGUGUUAUAGAUGCUGCUGUUGUGAUUUCUAACCACCCGCCCAAAAUUUUAGCAUUGCUAACAGAAAUCCAUAACACAAUAAGCAACUAUCUUGACUGACUAGCCAAGUGACGAUGACACCUUCCUCUAGCAUGAAAACAGAGGGGCGAGCUUUGUUCUUGCUCAUUAUGAAAGAAUGUCUGAUGUUUUGGGUGCUGGAUCGCAACUUGCAAGCAUUAACUCAGCUUGAAAUUAACAUGUAUAUAUCUCUGCAAAACCCUAAUUUAUAAAAUUGAUUAAAGCGCAUCAAACUGUUAACUUUUUAUUUUCUUUCCGAAAUAUGUAAAUUCCAAAUGACCCAAGGACUGGUUUUAGUGGCUUACCCCUCCUAUCUACAAAGUAACGUAGGGGUGUGCAUAAAAUCGAAUUCAAAAGAAACCUGUAAAACCGAUCAAAAACCGAAUCACAUAAAGCUGAUUCAAACUGAAACUGAAAAUUUUAAAACCGAACCGAUUUUAAUAGAUGCGGUUCCGGUUAUAAGUGAAAACCGAACCGGGCCGAUUAUUAAAAAAUAAUAAAUAAUAUUUAUUUAUACAAUAUUAUAAGAAAAAUAUAUAGACUAAAUAAAUUUAUAUUAGUAUGGUUUCAUUAAGUUAAUAAUAAAUAAUAUAAGUAUGAUUGUCAAGAGUGAAUAAAGGACUAUCGUAGCAGAUACGUACACGGAAAUUUCUUGAAAAUAUCACCGGACAAAUAAUAUAAGUAUGAUUGUCAAGAGUGAAUAAAGGACAAAUAAAUAUUUUAGUUAUUAUAAGUAUGGUAUCAUUAAGUUAAUUUAUAUGAUUAGAUUGUUAUUUAUAUUAUAAUUCAUUGUAUACAAUUGAACAUAUCAUGAAUAGUUCAUUGUUCAAGCGAUGGUUUAAAUUUCAAAAUUUCUCCUCUGCCAUUAAUCUAGUUAGCUAAUUUAUUUAUUAAAUUGAAAGUAUAUUUCUUAAUUUAAUUUGUUGCGGUUUUAAAAUCGAAAUCGCACCAAUUAAAACUAAACCAUAGUUUUAAAACCGAAACCGUCGGGUCGGUUACAAUUUUCAAUUUUUAAAGGAUCUUCGGUUUCGGUUUUACCCAAAAACCGAAUCGAACCGAGGUUUGCUCACCCCUAAUGUAAUGUAUUUUAAAAGAGUAGAAACAGUUUUUCGACCUGAUUGUAUGGACAGCUGUACCAAAUCUACAAAUGGUAGCCUGUUUAGAUAAUUUUAUAUUAAAAAUGAUCUAUAAAUUAUUAAAAUAUAAUAAAAAAAAAUUUGACAGAUUAUCUAUUUAAAUGAUGAAAAUUGACAUAUUUAACAAAUAAUAAAGAUAAAUAAAUUUUUUAAAAAUAUAUUCUACUACAUUUUUAAGUUAAAAUCAGUUUUUUGUUUAUUUUUAUUUUAACUUGAAGAGAAUAAGGAUAAAACUUUCGUCAAAAUCGAAAAGUUAGUCAAAAUAAUCUACUUGAAUUUGGUCACGACCAAAUUUGGGGCAGUCGGGACUGAAUCGGAGUUGAUAUAAUGAAAUUCGAUUUUUUGACGAAUUCUCAAAGGGGUUAGUACACAGGAAUUUAAUGAAAAUUUCACCGGGAAGUGUCUUUUCAUAUUUUCGCAUAAAUGGGUCCCUAUGGAUAUAUGAAUUUGGUCAUGACCAUAUUUGGGGCAGUCGGGACUGAAUCGUAGCAGAUAUAAUGAAGUUCGAGUUUUUGACGAAUUCUCAAAUGGGUUAGUACACGGGAAUUUCUUGAAAAUAUCCCUGGGCAGUUUCUUUUGAUAUUUCCACAUAAAUAGGUCCCUAUGGAUAUAUGAAUUUGGUCACGACCAUAUUUGGGGCAGUCGGGACUGAAUCGGAGCAGAUAUAAUGAAGUUCGAGUUUUCGAAGAAUUCUCAAAGGGGUUAGUACACGGGAUUUUCAUGAAAAUUUCACCGGGAAGUUUCUUUUGAUAUUUUCACAUAAAUGGGUCCCUAUGGAUAUAUGAAUUUGGUCACGACCAAGUUUGGGGCAGUCGGGACUGAAUCGGAGCAGAUAUAAUGAAAUUCGAUUUUUUGACGAAUUCUCAAAGGGGUUAGUACACGGGAAUUUCUUGAAAAUAUCCCUGGGAAGUUUCUUUUGAUAUUUCCACAUAAAUAGGUCCCUAUGGAUAUAUGAAUUUGGUCACGACCAUAUUUGGGGCAGUCGAGACUGAAUCGGAGCAGAUAUAAUGAAGUUCGAGUUUUUGACGAAUUCUCAAAGGGGUUAGUACACGGGAAUUUCUUGAAAAUAUCCCUGGGAAGUUUAUUUUGAUAUUUCCACAUAAAUAGGUCCCUAUGGAUAUAUGAAUUUGGUCACGACCAAAUUUGGGGCAGUCGGGACUGAAUCGGAGCAGAUAUAAUGAGACAAAAACUAAGAUUUCGGUGAGCAUCUUUGAAAGUAAAAAUUGAUGGACUUUCAACAUGGACUAUGUCAUAUUUUUCUUUUAAUUAUAAAAAGUGACUUAUAAAAAGAUUACAAUAUUUUGAAGAACAUAAAAUAAGAUAACUGAAAGAAUAUUUUUAUUUAGAUUACUUUUUUAUUUUAAACUUAUGAUGAAUUCAGAAUUCGACGUGNCACAUAAAUANNNNNNNNNNNNNNNNNNNNNNNNNNNNNNNNNNNNNNNNNNNNNNNNNNNNNNNNNNNNNNNNNNNNNNNNNNNNNNNNNNNNNNNNNNNNNNNNNNNNNNNNNNNNNNNNNNNNNNNNNNNNNNNNNNNNNNNNNNNNNNNNNNNNNNNNNNNNNNNNNNNNNNNNNNNNNNNNNNNNNNNNNNNNNNNNNNNNNNNNNNNNNNNNNNNNNNNNNNNNNNNNNNNNNNNNNNNNNNNNNNNNNNNNNNNNNNNNNNNNNNNNNNNNNNNNNNNNNNNNNNNNNNNNNNNNNNNNNNNNNNNNNNNNNNNNNNNNNNNNNNNNNNNNNNNNNNNNNNNNNNNNNNNNNNNNNNNNNNNNNNNNNNNNNNNNNNNNNNNNNNNNNNNNNNNNNNNNNNNNNNNNNNNNNNNNNNNNNNNNNNNNNNNNNNNNNNNNNNNNNNNNNNNNNNNNNNNNNNNNNNNNNNNNNNNNNNNNNNNNNNNNUGCUCCACCCCUAAAGAAAUAAGAGUAUACAAAAUUAAUUUAAAAGUGUGUGAGUUUGCACAAAGCUAAAAAAGUAACUAUACGGCUAAUUAAACUAAAUAUUUCUUAUUUUUAUGAACUUCAUGGUGCCUAACUGACAUCUACUCUAUUUUUGCUAUUUGAGAUCUGGUUUAUUACAAUUACAUGAAAAAUCAUUAAAAGCCUAAAUCAACAAGCUCAGAAAACUAAUGAUAAAAAAUUAAUAUUUUAUAACAAGACAAUAUUAUAACACGCGGUAUCAAAUUAAUAAUCAUCUAAUAUUUUAAAUUAACAAAAAAAAAUUAUAAGACAUUGAAAUACUAUAUAAUUGAUAUGAAAAUUAAAAGGGUAAGCCAAAUCAAACGUGUCGAAAUUUUUCGGGUACAAUUAUAAGGUUAAUAGUUCAAUGGAUGCUUUUAUAAUAAAGUAAGGUAGGGUCUUUUACAUACAAUAUAUGUUUCAAUUAUUAUUUAUACAAGGUGUGUGCAACAUAUGAUAAAAAAGAAUGUGUUGAUGGUAUGUCCAUCAUAUAUCACUUAACUAUUACACAAACGUACGCUCAAAAAAAUAGAAAUAAAUAUAAAACAACGCGGACCACACAUCUUCAUCUAAUCAUGAUUUAGGAUAUCGUAAUUCGCAUAUCAAGAACAAGUUUUCAUAUUGGAUGAAAUAAUUUAAUAAUUUUCAACAAUAAAUUACAGAUCUUUUUAAUGAGGUAUAAUAUAUUUAAAUUCUAAAAGUUUCAGUAUUAAUUUCGAGUAUAAUUUUGAACAUGUAGAUAAUAUGGCAGUGACCUCUAUAUCCUAACGAAUUUGAAUAUAGAAAAAUCAGUUCAAAUGUUGUUUUUGAUCCAUAAUUUUUAACUAUCAAUGCUAUUAGAUUGCAAAUAUUACAUUUCAUAUUUACACAUUAUGUUAAAAAAUAGGACGUAAUAGUUAUGCUCGAAAUAAUAUGAUGACACACGAAUAUUAUUUAAAAUACAACAAAAACUAGAGUCCCGUGCCUCGCACGGAUUUUUAUGCUAGUUAUAUACAAAAGGUCUAUAAUUAGAUGUAACAUAAUAUGUUGAUUUUAUAUUCAAUAUGAUCGCUAAUUCAUUUUCUCUCCCUCCUCCUGGAUACUAUAUAUUAGGGGGCGGGACUAAUCACACAAUUAUAUUCCUAUAAAGUAUAGUUCUCUAGUUUGUAACUUGUUUUGAAGAAUUUUUUUUGUAAACAAAAAUUUAACAUCUAAGUUUUAUUUUAGGAAGAUAAAUUUUAAAAAUAUUUUGCUGAAUUAUAAUUUAUAAAAAUAUUAAAAUACAUGUCGAGCAGUUAGGUAAAAUAUAUAAAAUUAAAUGAGAUAUAAGGAGUAAAAUUUUUGUUUAAAUCGGGACAAUGUCAUUAUUAUAUAAGAAUAUAUAAUUCUUAAAUGAAUAAGUUGUGAAAUCAUAUUAUGUAUUUAACAAUGAUAAAUUAUUUAAAAUAUAAUUAAAAUUGGGUAUUUACCAAAUAUACCUCUUUUUAACAUUUUAAUUGUAAUAAUACAAUCUUCUCCCAAAAAUUGCAUAUUUACUUUCUUUUUAAGAAAAGCUACAAAAUAUUUGCAUAUAUACGACUAUGACUAUGAACUGCUUCCUGGAGUAAAAGAGAGAGAGAAACGAGCGAACUUGUUCUUGCCUCACCCCUUCCCCCUCUCUGGCUCAUUCUGAUCUGUUUCUCUCUCCUUCCUCUCUCUUCUGCCUCCAUCUCUUCCUGCUCUCUCUCUAUCUCUUUCUCCGAUCCAUUGAUUAUGUCGGCCGUACUUUCUCCGAUCACAAAACCCUAGGUACUCAUUGUGAGUACAAUCUUCGUGGUGUUCUUGAUGAUUGUUGGAUUGGUGAUUAUAGUGGAUACAUACAAGAUGAGUUUAAAAGAAGGGAGAAAUGUCGAAAUAGAAGCUCCUAAACGUGGUUGCUGGUGUUGAUUUUGUGUGAAUAUAUUUUGUUUUUUGUUAUCCUUCAUCUCUGUAGGAAGUUUUGGUUAGUGAUGGUUACUUGUGGUUGCAAAACUUGUUGAUUUUGCUUUUGGCCCCGCAGGGGCAUUUAUUUUUCUGCCUUUGCAACUUAUUAUGCAACUUAAUAUAAUUUUAGCAUUUUUUAAAAAAAAAGUUACAUAUGUAGUUGAAAGUAUGGUUGCUCGUAGUUGCAGAUUUGGUUGCAUGUGCAAAAUCGUAUUUUUGCAAGAAAAAAUUGAAUGAUAGUAUUUUUGCAAUUUAUUUUAAAAAAUGAUAGUAUUUUUGCAAAAUUUCUUUUUGACUUGGGUAUUUGUGAAAAAAGCCCAUUAAAAUUUAUAUGUAUUAUUUUGGAUCUUUGCAUAAAUAAUUCAAGGGCUCAUUAAAAAUUUAUUUUUAAAAAAAACAUUUUUUAGAUAUAAAGAUUGACAAAAUAAUAAUAAAGACUUAUUUCACAAAAAAGAAAAUCUCAUAAAAAAAUUUCAAAAAUAAAAUUUUAUUUAAAAGAUACUCGCUCCGUUCCUUUUUAUUAGUCGCUUUAAUUUUUUGCACGUAUUUUGAGGUGCAAUAAAAACGUAUUUCUACACGUUAUUUUCUAAAUUUUCUUUUUUGAAUAAAAAUAUAGAUGUUAAACUUUUAUUCAGAAAAAGAAAAUUUGAAAAUAAUACGUGUAACUAUAUUUUUUUUGGGCUUUUCUCAUAAAUACCCAAGUCUAAAAGAAUUUUUGCGAAAAUACUAUCAUUUUUUAAGACAAAUUGCAAAAAUAAUAUCUUUCAAAAAAAAUUGCAAAAAUACGGUGGUUGCAUAUGCAACCUUAUCUGCAACUAUAGCAACCAUAUACGCAGCCACAAAUGCAAAUUUGAAAAAAUUUAUCAAAAAUUAUAUUAAGUUGCAUAACAAGUUGCAAUCAGUUGCAACAAAAAGAAAAAUGAAUGCCCCUGCGAGGCCAAAAUCAAAAUCAACCACUAUUAUAACUAGAAUCAACCAACACCAACCAAACCUCAAAAACACAAAAGAAAAGUGCGGUGAACAGAGUCGAUGUGGGUUAGGGUUUAGAAAAGGUAUCGCUAGUGGGAGCAAUCAUCAGUCCAAUCGACACCGCAAAUAUAAUUAUCGAUCCAACCAUCAUCAAGAACACCAUAAGUAUGCCUCGGAUUUCACGAUGAACAAUCAUCAGAUCGAUUUUUGGAUGAGAUAGGGAGAAAGGAGGAGAAAAGAGCAGAGGAAGAAAAAUAGAAAGAGAGAGAGCGAGAAGAGAUGUUGGUAGAAGAGAGAGCGGGUGGAGAGAGAGACAAAGAGUAAGAGAGAAGGGAGAGAGAGAGACAGAGAGUAAGAGAGAAGGGAGAAACGGAUAGACAUGGAGCAGAAAGGGUGUGGCUGAGUCUGUAUUUGUGCAAAUGUUUCAAUCAGAGUCUCAAAAAAAACGUACAUUUGCAAUAUUUUAGGUAGGUAGUAAUUUUAUUAAAAUAUUAAAAAGAGGUAUAUUUGGUAAAUACCCUAUUUUUUUUACACUCUCGGCACAAAGUCAAAGCGACGGAGGGAGUGUUUAACCAAACAGACCUUCUAAUUUCUAUGUUUAAAACAAUUUUCCAGAAAUCGCUAGGCGUCCCAGGGCGGUCGGGGUACCUUCUAGCAAUUAAUCGAGAAAUCGGGGAUUAAUCGGAGUAUUAAUCGGACAUAUAUUAUUUUUAAAUUAUUAUAACUAAAUAUAUUUUAAUAAUUUUAUCUACUUUUCACUACUAGUAGAGUCAAACUGGUAAACAAUAUAAUAUCAUAUAUUAAAAAUAAAUACUUGAUACAUGUAAUACAAAAUCAUUGAUUGAAUAAAUAUAUACCAAUCAGUAUCUUAUAAAUAAUGUAAAAAAUAUUAAAUAAAAUUAUUUAUUUUACUUUUUUUAUAGGAUAUUAAGGUACUGUUUGGGGUUGCUGUUGCAGACAGCAACAACAACUUUUUACUGAAAAGCAGGUGAAAAACUGUUUGGUAAAUCGAAAAGCAGCUUUUCCGAACAGCAGUUUUUGACUGAAAAGCUGCUGUUAGAAAAAGCAGGUCCUCCCAUGCUUUUGGAAAAAGCUGCUUUUCAGCUUUUGCAGAAUGCUGUUAUAGAUUUCAUUAUAAAAUCUAACCAAAAACAUUUUUUUUUAUAUUAUAACUCAAAAUAAGUAAAUAUAAAAAAUUACCAAACAGUUAUCUGAUUUCUGCACCAGCACUUAUUUUACCAGCACUUUUUCUGACAGCACAGCAAUUUUUAACAGCACUCCCAAACAGACCCUAAGUUAAGUACAAGUGAAUAUUUAAUUUUUUAUAAUAUAAUCAUAAUUUUAGAUUUUAUUUAUUAAAAAAAAAUUCUUUUGUUAUUGGCCGCCUCGACCGCCUAGGCGGGAUGUGGACCGCCUAGACGGGAUUUUGACCGCCUAGACGGGAUUUUUGUAAAAAACGCCUAAGACCGAAUCGGGGCGUUUCGGUGCCGUCUAGCGUCUAGGCACCCCCUAGGCGGCUGCUAUGCUUAGGGGUGAGCGUGGUUCGGUUCGGGGCGGUUUUAAGGCAAAACCGGAACCGGAACCGGAACCGGAACCGCGAAUCUUCGGUUUUUAAAAUUAAAAACCGAAACCGCAACCGAACCGUCGGAUCGGGUUCGGUUUCAAAAGCCUCGGUUCGGUUUUAGUCGGUUCGGUUUCGGUUAUAAAACCGCAAGAAAUGAGAAAAAGAAAAAAAAUUACGUAUUAAAUCUUUAAAAUUUAUUUUACAACAUUAAAAGUUAUAACUUUGUAUCUUUACGGUAUUAGAUCGAUGAAAGAGUCCAAGGUUGUGAGUUUAUGAUUUUGAUAGUAUGCUUCGUGCUACUCUUUUGGAUAAAAUCUAAGGUAUGUAAAAAAAUCGAACCUAAUUCAAGUAUUCUCCGACCUAUACCAAACUAUAAUCUAAAUUCUAUAUAUCACUUAGUUACGGUUCAUGAUAUAUUAAUAUAAAUAUAUGUAUAUAUUAUCUUAAUACACACGUGUAUAUAUGUACAUAUAUAAAUAUAUUUAUAUAUUUAUAUUUAUAUAUGUAUUAUAAUUUAUAAAUAAUAUUUAUUUAUUUAUUUUAAACAAUCGGUUCGGUUCGGUUUAUUUCGGUUCGGUUUUAAUCUAAAACCGGAACCGCAACCAUUAGAAUCGGUUCGGUUUUUUAAUUUGCGGUUUCGGUUCGGUGCGGUUUUAUACGGUUCGGUUUUCAUCGGUUUUUAACGGUUUCGGUUCGGUUUCGGUUUCAAUUCGGUUUUUUGCUCACCCCUAGCUAUGCUGAUUUUUAGACUACUGGUUUAAAACGAGGUUUUGACGACAGUUUUACUUUUAUACUUUCGUUCAAAAAUUUAUUCAUUGGGACAUUAUUGUCAUUCAUCAAAAAUAAUUCAUAUUCAUAUUUACUCCCUCUGUCCCAUUUAAUUGUAUACGUUUCUUUUCAACUGCUCGACACGCAUUUCAAUACUCUUAUAAAAUAUAGUUCCGUAAUUUAUUUUUGAGAUUUUCUUUUUCUGAAUAAAAAUAUAACAUCCAAACUUUAAUUCAGAAAAAGAAAAUUUUAAAAAUAAAUUACACAACUACACUCUACAGGAGCAUUAAAGUCCGUGCCGCGUCCCCGUCCCCCGAUGUAUACAACUCAGGGGACGGAGGGAGUAACGAAUAAGCCUUCGGGUUUGCGAGGUUUGAAACGAAAAUAAAAGGGGUACAGUAAUAGAAGGAUCUAGAAACCCUAAUCUGGUUAUAUAGUCUCCGCCUCUUGAUUAAUUCAAGUCAGCUUCUUUCUUGUUGUAAUCUCAAACCCUAGAUCUUCAAUCAACUCGUCUCUCUUUCUCUAAUGGCGGACACUGAGACAUUUGCUUUUCAAGCCGAGAUUAAUCAGCUUCUGAGCUUGAUUAUCAACACUUUUUACAGCAACAAGGAGAUCUUUCUUCGUGAACUCAUCAGUAACGCUUCUGAUGUAAGUCUUCUAGUUACAUAUUUCUUUUGCUUAUACUUCUUAUUUUCUUUGUUUCUUGUUGUAUUAGAUUGGUUGUUUUUUUUUAAUUUAAAUCGAUUCUUAAUAUUAUGUGGUUAGGUUGUUUUUCAUUUGAUUAGAAUUAAUAUUCAUGUGUUCUAGUACUCUUUGGAAUUUUAUUGUUUAAUGUAAUUCAACAUUUUGCUUCGAUAUAUUAAAGUUUGAAUAAUAAUCUGGGUAUUAAGAUGUGUUAAAAUUCAAAUCUUAAGCUGGCUAUUAAAUGGCAAGGGUUCAACUCCAUCUCACCCUCGAGAAUUAUUUGAGAAUAUAUACUAAAUUUGGAUGCAGUGAGUCUUGUUGUUAAAUAUAUAAAUCACAGUAUUGAAUGCUUAAUACAUGGAGUGACGAGUUGACCUCCUUACAUCUACAGCUAAUCUGUUUGAGUUGCUCUUACAAAUUUUGGUAAACUAAAAAGUUGUUUGAUUGAGAUCCUCUUCACAUACAUUAAUGAAUGCUUGUAUUCAGUUGUGAUGAGGUCACACUAGCAUGAGCUCUAUGGUACAAAUUGUCGGACUUGGCCAAUAAUGUUUUGCUUCCGUGCAGGCUCUAGAUAAAAUUCGCUUUGAAAGCUUGACGGACAAGACAAAGCUCGAUGCCCAGCCAGAGCUCUUUAUCCACAUCAUUCCAGACAAGGCCAGCAAUACCCUGACACUAAUUGAUAGUGGCAUUGGCAUGACCAAAGCUGGCGAGUGACAGUGUCUUAUAGAUUUAUUAAUGUUCAUGUAUAUGUAUCUGUUUGGCCUCACUCAUUGUCUUAUAUUUUAAUUUCAGAUUUGGUAAACAAUUUGGGUACCAUUGCAAGGUCUGGUACUAAAGAAUUCAUGGAAGCUCUUGCUGCGGGUGCUGAUGUUAGCAUGAUUGGACAGUUUGGUGUUGGUUUCUAUUCUGCCUACCUUGUUGCUGAGAAGGUUAUUGUAACCACUAAGCAUAACGACGAUGAACAGUAUGUUUGGGAAUCCCAAGCUGGUGGAUCUUUCACCGUUACCAGAGAUACUUCUGGAGAGGUUCUUGGAAGGGGUACAAAAAUUGUUCUCCAUCUUAAAGAGGACCAGCUAGAAUACCUUGAGGAGCGCAGGCUCAAGGAUCUUGUGAAGAAGCAUUCUGAGUUCAUCAGCUACCCAAUCUCUUUAUGGAUUGAGAAGACCACCGAAAAAGAAAUUUCAGAUGACGAGGAUGAGGAAGAAAAGAAAGACGAGGAAGGCAAGGUAGAGGAAGUUGAUGAAGAGAAGGAGAAGGAAGAAAAGAAAAAGAAGAAGAUUAAAGAAGUGUCUCAUGAGUGGUCCUUGGUUAACAAACAGAAGCCCAUCUGGAUGAGGAAGCCUGAGGAGAUCACCAAGGAGGAGUAUGCUGCCUUCUACAAGAGCCUUACUAAUGACUGGGAGGAGCACUUGAACGUAAAGCACUUCUCUGUUGAAGGCCAGCUUGAAUUUAAAGCUGUUCUAUUUGUUCCUAAGAGGGCACCCUUUGAUCUCUUUGACACGAAGAAGAAGCAGAACAACAUUAAGCUGUAUGUCCGUCGUGUUUUCAUCAUGGACAACUGUGAGGAUUUGAUCCCAGAAUACCUGAGCUUCGUUAAGGGUAUUGUUGAUUCCGAGGAUCUCCCCCUUAACAUUUCUAGGGAGAUGCUGCAGCAGAACAAAAUUCUUAAGGUCAUUCGCAAGAACUUGGUGAAGAAGUGCCUUGAACUCUUCUUUGAGAUUGCAGAGAACAAAGAAGAUUACAACAAAUUCUAUGAAGCUUUUUCAAAGAACCUUAAGCUUGGCAUUCAUGAAGAUUCCCAGAACAAAACAAAGAUUGCUGAGUUGCUCAGGUACCACUCUACUAAGAGUGGGGAGGAAAUGACCAGCCUGAAGGACUAUGUCACCAGGAUGAAAGAGAACCAGAGUGAGAUCUAUUACAUUACUGGGGAGAGCAAGAAGGCUGUUGAGAACUCUCCUUUCCUUGAGAGGUUGAAGAAGAAAGGUUAUGAAGUGCUGUACAUGGUUGAUGCUAUUGAUGAGUACGCUGUGGGUCAGUUGAAGGAAUUUGAGGGUAAGAAGUUAGUUUCUGCUACCAAAGAGGGGCUUAAACUCGAGGAGAGUGAAGAUGAGAAAAAGAAAAAGGAGGAACUGAAGGAGAAGUUUGAGGGACUCUGCAAGGUUGUUAAAGAUGUUUUGGGGGACAGAGUUGAGAAGGUUAUCGUUUCUGAUCGUGUAGUGGAUUCACCUUGUUGCUUAGUUACUGGUGAGUAUGGCUGGACUGCUAACAUGGAGAGGAUCAUGAAGGCCCAGGCUUUGAGGGAUUCAAGCAUGGGUGGUUAUAUGUCAAGCAAAAAGACAAUGGAAAUUAACCCUGAGAAUGCUAUAAUGGAGGAGCUCAGAAAGAGGGCUGAUGCUGACAAGAACGACAAGUCUGUUAAAGACUUGGUUCUCUUGCUCUUUGAGACAGCUCUCCUUACCUCUGGAUUCAGCCUUGAGGAGCCCAACACCUUUGGCAACAGGAUCCACAGAAUGUUGAAGCUUGGUUUGAGCAUUGAUGAUGAUGAUGAAGUGGUCGAGGCUGAAGACAUGCCUUCACUGGAAGAAGCUGAUGCUGACGCAGAGGGCAGCAAGAUGGAAGAAGUGGAUUAAAUGUUCUCUUCUAGUGCAUGCUAAUC